rnacentral:rRNA from 1 species
GACGAACGCUGGCGGCGUGCUUAAUACAUGCGAGUCGAACGGAAAGGCCCUGCGUUUGUUGGGUGGUCGAGUGGCGAACGGGUGAGUAACACGUGAGUAAAAUGUACUUGACUGUGGGAUAAAUCCAGGGAACAGGGGCUCAUAUCGGGUAGGAGCUAUUGCAGCGUGGGGGGGGAUGGAGAGAGCCGGCGGUUGGGGAUGGACUCGCAGCUUAUCCGCCGGUUAGGGAAGUAGGGGAGUUCAAGGGUUUUGACGGGUAGGCGGCCUGAGAGGGUGGCCGGCCACAUUGCGACUGAGAGACGGCCCAGACUCCAACGGGAGGCAACAGUGGGGAGUCUUGCAGAAUGACCCGAAGCCUGAUGCAGCAACGCUGCGAGCGGGAUGCCGUCUUACGAGUUGUAAACCAAUGUCUCCUGUACUAAACCCGGAGUGACGGUAAUGGGUAAAGAAGCACCGGCUAACUACGUG